UGAAUACUUGACCUCAAAUCAGGU
rnacentral:rRNA from 1 species